AAUUAUUAUUAGUUUUAUGAUAUUUUAUUUUCUUGAAAAUUGUAUUGUAGCAGAUUAGAAUCUAUAUUAUCUAUUAUAUAUUAUAGUUUCUGUUUUUAUUUUCACCACAAAGAAACAACAACCAUAAAUCUACUUUAUUUUAUUUCAAUAAUUAAUAUGUCAAUUAUUUUUAAAUAAUGGCUUAAACUAAAUAAUAAAGUGAAUUGGGUCAUAAAAUUGGGCUAGAGUAUAUAAAAAAUUAGUCUAUCAAUUAUUUAAAGAAUUGAGCUGGUCCAACUAAUCCAACUAAUUACUCCGGGAAAAAAACGUAUAUGCUAAAAGCUCAACUACUUUUUUGCUUUCUCCUAAACUUCUCUGUCGCUCCUUCACUGUCUCUCUCUUUGACACAUGCAAACUGAUGUUGCCUCUCUCUUUGAUCUGAUCUCCGUCUCGAUUAUGACUCAAAAAACUGAUCAAAUACAAAAUCGGAGGAAUCCUAAUCCAUAAUCAUCAGAUUGUUCAUCGAUUUAUUCAAAAAAAGAUAUUGGAAUCAUUGCAAGGUACCGUAAAGAAGAAAAAGGAGAUGAUUUGAUUAAACGCUUUCUAUCGAAUUAUGACAGAAGCAAAGUUGGGUUUCUAUUUCUCUUAAACGAUUUCUGUUUGAGAUGAUCCUAACGAAGCAUUAUUCUCUAUUCAUAAUUUUACUAAGAGCAUAAGCAGCGGGUGAUAGUUCAGGUUUACAUCUCUUAAAACUCUUUCUUUGUUCUUUUGAAAUUAUUAUGUGUUUACUAAAAGCAUGUCUUAUCCUUUACACGGUUGAUAUGAGACACAUAGUGAAGGAAA